rnacentral:rRNA from 1 species
AAAAAAAUUAGCGGAUGAGCUGUGGAUAGGGGUGAAAGGCUAAACAAACUUGGAAAUAGCUGGUUCUCUCCGAAAACUAUUUAGGUAGUGCCUCAAGUAUUACCAUCGGGGGUAGAGCACUGUUAUGGCUAGGGGGUCAUGGCGACUUACCAAACCAUUGCAAACUCCGAAUACCGAUGGGUACAGCUUGGGAGACAGAGCACCGGGUGCUAACGUCCGGACUCAAGAGGGAAACAACCCAGACCGCCAGCUAAGGUCCCUAAAAUUGGCUAAGUGGGAAACGAAGUGGGAAGGCUAAAACAGUCAGGAUGUUGGCUUAGAAGCAGCCAUCAUUUAAAGAAAGCGUAAUAGCUCACUGAUCGAGUCGUCCUGCGCGGAAGAUGUAACGGGGCUAAGCCAGUUACCGAAGCUGCGGAUGUGCAAUUUAUUGCACGUGGUAGGAGAGCGUUCUGUAAGCCUGUGAAGGUGGGUUGUGAAGCCUGCUGGAGGUAUCAGAAGUGCGAAUGCUGACAUGAGUAGCGUUAAAGGGGGUGAAAAGCCCCCUCGCCGAAAGCGCAAGGUUUCCUACGCAACGUUCAUCGGCGUAGGGUGAGUCGGCCCCUAAGGUGAGGCAGAGAUGCGUAACUGAUGGGAAACAGGUGAAUAUUCCUGUACCGAUGUGUAGUGCGAUGUGGGGACGGAGAAGGUUAGCUCAGCCAACUGUUGGAUAUGUUGGUUCAAGCGUGUAGUCGUAUCCCUUAGGCAAAUCCGGGGGAAUUAGAUGAGGCGUGAUAACGAGUCUGCUUGCAGACGAAGUGAGUGAUACCCUGCUUCCAAGAAAAGCCACUAAGCUUCAGCUACACACGACCGUACCGCAAACCGACACUGGUGCGCGAGAUGAGUAUUCUAAGGCGCUUGAGAGAACUCUGGAGAAGGAACUCGGCAAAUUGACACCGUAACUUCGGAAGAAGGUGUGCCUUUAGUAGGUGAACCAUUUACUUGGGGAGCCCAAUGAGGCCGCAGAGAAUCGGUGGCUGCAACUGUUUAUUAAAAACACAGCACUCUGCAAAGACGAAAGUCGACGUAUAGGGUGUGACUCCUGCCCGGUGCUGGAAGAUUAAAUGAUGGGGUGCAAGCUCUUGACUGAAGUCCCAGUAAACGGCGGCCGUAACUAUAACGGUCCUAAGGUAGCGAAAUUCCUUGUCGGGUAAGUUCCGACCUGCACGAAUGGAGUAAUGAUGGCCACACUGUCUCCUCCAGAGACUCAGCGAAGUUGAAAUGUUUGUGAUGAUGCAAUCUCCCCGCGGAAAGACGGAAAGACCCCAUGAACCUUUACUGUAGCUUUACAUUGGACUUUGAACAGAUCUGUGUAGGAUAAAAAAAAG